UACGUAGGGGUCGAGCGUUGUCCGGAGUUACUGGGCGUAAAGCGCGCGCAGGCGGCGCGAUAAGACCGGCGUGAAAGCCCCCGGCUCAACCGGGGAGGGUCGUUGGUGACUGUCGCGCUUGAAGGCAGCAGGGGUGAGUGGAAUUCCGGGUGUAGUGGUGGAAUGCGUAGAGAUCCGGAGGAACACCAGCGGCGAAGGCGGCAUCCUGGACUGGUCCUGACACUCAUGAGCGAAAGCGUGGGGAGCGAUCCGG
rnacentral:rRNA from 1 species